UCCUACGGGGCGCAGCAGUGAGGAAUAUUGGUCAAUGGGCGCGAGCCUGAACUAGCUAAGUCGCGUGAGGGAAGACGGUCCUAUGGAUUGUAAACCUCUUUUGUCGGGGAGCAAAAGACGCCACGCGUGGCGUUCCGAGAGUACCCGAAGAAAAAGCAUCGGCUAACUCCGUGCCAGCAGCCGCGGUAAUACGGAGGAUGCGAGCGUUAUCUGGAUUUAUUGGGUUUAAAGGGUGCGCAGGCGGAAGAUCAAGUCAGCGGUAAAAUUGAGAGGCUCAACCUCUUUGAGCCGUUGAAACUGGUUUU
rnacentral:rRNA from 1 species